GGGCGAUUAGCUCAUUUGGCUAGAGCGCCGCAUUGACGUUGCGGAGGUGAUAGGUUCGAAUCCUAUAUCGCCCACCA
rnacentral:tRNA from 1 species